CACCAGAAAUCCAAACCCAACAGCAACACCUGCAAAUUGGGUUUUGGAAUCACAUGUCUUGUCUACCACCCAAAACCCUAACAUUGAGCUCAAACUGCCUCAACCUGCCUUUCAAAAGCCGAAAAGAAAAAAAAAAGGAAACAAAAGCCAAACGCAAAUCCAGUCACUCUCUCACUCAACAUAUUCAAACAUAUACGCACACUAACCCCACUACCCUCUCUCUCUCUCUCUCUUCUUUCUCUCUCUUUACACAGUGAUAUAUGUCGCCUUCAAUUGCGACUUUCCACCACUCACAUUCUUCUCUCUCUCUGUCUGCUUUGUGAUUUGUAUAUAUAAUUUUUUUAGGGUUUUGGGCUAAUGAGUCAAGUUAAGGAAUCAGACGACGAGCCUGUGGCUCAGUCUCUUGAAAGCGAUAAGCCCGAAAUUGGGAGUAUUGAGAGUAUUGAAGAAGACGAAGAAGAAGAAGAAGAAGAAGAGCCUGUGGACAAGCCCGGCGAUCCCAUGGAGGAAGACUCCGUCAGUCCCGCCGCCGUCUUCUGUAUUCGGCUCAAGCAGCCCAGGUCCAAUUUGCAGCACAAGAUGAGCGUCCCCGAGCUUUGUCGCAAUUUUAGUGCUGUUGCUUGGUGUGGGAAGCUGAAUGCUAUAGCUUGUGCAUCAGAAACAUGUGCUAGAAUUCCAAGUUCUAAUGCAAAUACACCUUUUUGGAUUCCCAUACAUAUUGUGAUCCCAGAGCGACCAACUGAGUGUGCAGUGUUUAAUGUCAAUGCAGAUUCUCCUCGUGAUUCUGUUCAGUUUAUUGAGUGGUCGCCUACCUCUUGCCCUCGUGCCUUACUAAUUGCUAAUUUCCAUGGGAGAAUAACAAUCUGGACUCAGCCUUCUCAAGGGCCAGCUAAUCUAGUACGUGAUGCUAGCCGGUGGCAACGAGAGCAUGAAUGGCAACAGGAUAUUGCAGUUGUCACAAAGUGGUUGUCAGGGGUGUCUCCAUAUAGGUGGCUUUCCUCAAAAUCAAGUGCUGCCUCAAAUGCAAAGUCAACUUUUGAAGAAAAAUUUCUUUCACAGCAGUCUCAAAAUUCAGCUAGGUGGCCCAAUUUUCUUUGCGUUUGUUCUGUUUUCUCUUCAGGCUCUGUUCAGCUUCACUGGUCCCAGUGGCCUCCUAAUCAGAAUAGUGCUGCACCAAAGUGGUUUCAAACGAGCAAGGGACUCUUGGGUGCUGGGCCUAGUGGGAUCAUGGCUGCUGAUGCUAUCAUAACAGACAGCGGUGCCAUGCAUGUGGCAGGUGUUCCAAUUGUAAACCCAUCUACUGUUGUUGUUUGGGAGGUCACUCCUGGACUUGGAAAUGGAUUUCAGGUAACUCCGAAGAUUAGCACGAGCAAUGGGGUCCCACCUUCACUAAAUCCACCCAAUUGGGCAGGUUUUUCCCCUUUGGCUGCAUAUUUAUUUAGCUGGCAAGAUUAUUUAAUAUCAGAAGCAAAACAAGGGCGAAAGCAGACAGAUCCAGAUUUCAGUGAUACUGUACCACUUCAUUGCUCUCCGGUUUCAAAUUUUUCAGCAUAUGUGAGUCCUGAGGCUGCAGCUCAAUCUGCAACGACCACUACGUGGGGAUCUGGAGUUACUGCUGUUGCCUUUGAUCCAACUCGUGGUGGUUCUGUCAUUGCUGUUGUCAUUGUUGAGGGACAAUACAUGUCUCCUUAUGAUCCAGAUGAGGGUCCUUCAAUUACAGGAUGGAGAGUGCAACGAUGGGAAUCAUCCCUUCAGACUGUUGUUCUUCAUCAAAUAUUUGGAAAUCCUACUUCCAGUUUUGGUGGGCAGGCACCCAUGCAAACAGUUUGGCUGUCCAAAGUGGACACAAGCAUACAACCAACUAAUGAUUUUAAAAGUCACCAAGCAGCUGCAUCAGGAGCAACCUCCGAUGCAAGGAAGACAACUGAUUCUAGCCUUGAGAAGUCAAAACGAGUUAGUUUUGAUCCUUUUGACCUGCCAAGUGAUGUUAGAACACUUGCUCGAAUAGUCUAUUCUGCUCAUGGUGGUGAGAUUGCUGUUGCUUUUCUCCGGGGUGGGGUUCACAUCUUUUCUGGUCCGAGCUUUGCGCCUGUUGAUAACUACCAGAUUAACGUUGGAUCUGCAAUAGCUACUCCUGCCUUCUCAUCAACAAGCUGCUGCUCAGCUUCUGUUUGGCAUGAUAGUGGUAAGGACCGUACCGUUUUAAAAAUAAUACGUGUCCUUCCUGCUGCUGUUUCUAGCAGUCAAGUGAAGACAAACUCAUCAACCUGGGAACGUGCAAUUGCGGAAAGGUUUUGGUGGAGUCUUUUGGUUGGGGUUGAUUGGUGGGAUGCUGUUGGAUGCACACAGAGUGCUGCCGAGGAUGGCAUUGUUUAUCUGAAUAGUGUCAUUGCAGUACUUGAUGCAGAUUUUCAUUCUCUUCCUUCUACUCAGCACAGGCAACAGUAUGGUCCUAGCCUAGACAGGAUAAAAUGCAGGCUACUGGAAGGUACAAAUGCACAAGAAGUUAGGGCAAUGGUUCUGGACAUGCAAGCCAGGCUGUUGCUUGACAUGCUGGGGAAAGGAAUAGAGUCAGCAUUGAUUAAUCCAUCUGCUUUGGUAGCAGAGCCAUGGCAGGCAUCUGGUGAAACGUUAUCGGGCAUAGAUCCUGAAGCAAUGGCUGUUGAACCAGCACUAGUUCCAAAUAUUCAGGCUUACGUUGAUGCAGUUCUUGAUUUAGCUUCUCAUUUCAUUACUCGCUUGCGGCGCUAUGCAAGCUUUUGUCGCACAUUGGCGAGCCAUGCUGGUUCUGCAGGAACUGGCAGCAAUCGCAAUAUGGUGGCUAGUCCUACCCAAAGUUCUGCUUCUCCAGCAACAAGUCAGGGAGGCCAAAGUGGAACUACAACUGCCACAGGAAACACCCAGAUGCAAGCUUGGGUACAAGGUGCUAUUGCAAAGAUUAGUAGUACCUCUGAUGGAGUGCCCAAUUCAACUCCAAACCCCAUCAGUGGACCAUCUUCCUUCAUGCCAAUAAGUAUUAACACAGGAACAUUUCCUGGAACACCUGCUGUUAGGCUCAUUGGGGAUUGCCACUUUCUUCAUAGGUUAUGCCAGCUUUUGCUUUUCUGUUUUUUCUUUCGUCGAACCCAGCUACCUCGUUUUGUUGGGGGUGCACAGAGAAAUACUGAUGCAAAUAUGCAAAAGCCACAGCCUGGUGCUCCUGGGAAGGUGGAGGAGGUCAGCUCUGUUACUGUAAAGCCAUCGUCAACCAUGGUUAGACAGGAUGAGGGUCAGGUAGCUCGGGCUGGUCAGAUCAUACCUGGCGCAAAAGGAGCUGAAGAAGGACCUGCUGGAAGGUCGAGAUUGGGUGCUGGAAAUGCUGGUCAGGGAUACACUUUUGAGGAGGUUAAAGUCCUUUUCCUCAUCCUUAUGGAUCUUUGCCGGCGAACAGCAACCCUGGCACAUCCAUUGCCAGUUUCUCAGGUGGGAAGCAGCAACAUUCAGGUGCGGCUGCAUUACAUUGAUGGCAAUUAUACUGUACUUCCAGAGGUUGUCGAAGCAUCACUUGGCCCUCAUAUGCAGAAUAUGCCCCGGCCUAGAGGUGCAGAUGCUGCUGGUCUAUUACUCAGAGAGUUAGAACUUCACCCUCCAGCUGAAGAGUGGCACAGGCGGAAUAUGUAUGGUGGGCCUUGGUCGGAUCCAGAUGAUAUGGGUCCUCAAGAUGAUACUCCCAAGCUUUGUAAUUCUGCUGACCCACUUGGUUCCAACUCAUUGGAAAGUUGUGAGGUUUAUUAUGGAGCCCAUGGUCUGUGGCCUAGGAAGCGCAGGAUGUCUGAAAGAGAUGCAGCCUUUGGCUUAAACACUUCUGUGGGUCUGGGGGCAUAUCUUGGUAUAAUGGGAUCACGGAGAGAUGUUGUUACUGCCGUAUGGAAGACUGGUCUUGAAGGGGUUUGGUACAAGUGCAUAAGAUGUUUGCGGCAGACUUCAGCCUUUGCUUCUCCUGGUGCUACUAGUCGACCUAAUCAAACUGGGCGGGAGACUUGGUGGAUCAGCCGUUGGGCUUACUGCUGUCCUAUGUGUGGUGGAACAUGGGUUCGAGUUGUAUAGAUGACUAAACUUAUAGGUGUGUUCCUUUUCGUUUUUUACAUGGAACGAGCUCCAAGGUGGACAGACCAUUGCUGAUCAUUGACAACUGAAUGAUGCGCCACUGCUGAUUGUUGAUAACUGAGUCAUAUGAUGCAGAUUGGACAUACAGAAUCAUUCGUGAAGGCGAUCAUUUUAGAAGAUGAUCCUGGUUGUAAAUCCUCUAGCCCUGACCUUGAUUUAUCCAUUUCACUUGUAGUGAGAACAUCACAUUUGAUUUAUUAGUACACACGUAUGUAAAGCGUAAUAGCUGCCAGUGGGGAACACAGUCGUGAUCAUCGUAGCCUCGGGAAACAUUUCUCUCGUGAGUUUAGUUCUUGAUGGACUUGCUCUAUUGAUUUAUUAGGUUGGCCAGUUUUGUAAACAGUAAUAACGGGCUUGAACAUUAUUUGGGAGAAGGGUGUGAAGAAGGCAGGAGGGUGCUUGGUAGGUAGGUUCCUGUUAAUUAUAAUGUAAGCAGCAAAUCAAUAUAUUAUAUUAUAGCCCUUUUGGACAUAUGGGGAAACUCAAGGGGUUCCAGAUGAGAGGAGGCCAUCUGAUAGAUGAUGGGAUUAUGGUGGUUUUUGUUUUUGUUUUUUUUUGGGAUUCUGCUUGUUCAGCGAAUGACUAGUCAAAUGGACCUGUAUACGUCUGAUGUUACAUGCCAUAUAAAUUUUCUCCCCCAUUUGUGACUU